ACUCAUAACUUAAUUUUAAUUACAAAAUGUAAUUUUCUUUCAGUGUUUUUUCGCGUUCUCCACUAUCUUUAUUCUCUACGAUUAUGUAUUUUUGGACGCGCUUUUUUCUCUCUCAAAGCGGAACAGCUUCUGUUCGAAUCGUGGAAAAUGGAAACAGGAACAGAAGCGGAAACGUGAAACACAACAUGUUCAAAUCGAGGAAAAUUGCUUAUCGUUAAAAGGAAAAAAGUCAAAACGUGCUUAUUUCGGAAGCGAUUCUCAAACGCAAUUCCAGAAUUAUCGGCACAGGUUUGAUGUUCUGGUUUUUCCGAUUUUGGUUUUAAGCUACAGUGUUUUGGUAAGCUAUUUUAUGGUUUCGACGCACUUACGGGUUUGCUAUAACUUAUGAUUCUGAGUUGUUUUCUAUGCAAACUUGGUUGUGAACUAAAUAGACAGCAUACAUAAGAUAAAUUUGCUGAGUAUUUUUCUGGAUGUAGUGAUUAGGAGAAUAAAAUGCAGCUUUCUAUCCUGCUCGCAAAGUGUUCGAUAAAAUGCCUCUGCCGGUUUUUUCUUCUUUUUGCUUUUGUUUCAGUUCAAUUCUUGCUACAACAUUGAUGUUAUGCUGUAAUUUGCUGUUGUUGCAGGUUGUGGUUGACGAAUUGAUGGAAAAUUGGUGCCAGAUUUGUCGUUUCGCGCUAUGCCCACCAAAUGUUCGGUUAUGUGAAGGGUAAAUAGUCAACUACUUGCAGGCUGAUGCUAGACAUGGGGAGAUACUGGGUCAGCUUCUCUAUGACAGAGGAAUGUGGCAUAUAUUUCAUUUGAGGCUUUGAUACUGUUGCUUGGGUGGAUGUGAAAGAAUAUGAAACCCAUCAACCUGAUAAAAUUGCAGUUGAUGGUGGUAUCUAAAGGAUCAAUUUUGAUUCAGAUGUAUGAAAGGGAAGAUACAAGACCAUUCAAAAUUGUAGAUACAUGAAAGUGAAGUAUGAAAGGGAAGAUACAAGACCACUCAAAAUUGUAAAUACAUGAAAGUGAAGAUACAAGAAUAUUAAAAUACAAAUAUAUGAGAUUUCUUUUGUAAGAGUCACAUAUUUGAUUUCUUUUGUGUGAGAUUCUAAUUAUAUGGAAUGAAAUUUUCUAUAUUGAAAUAUUUGAAUUUAAUAUAAAAUAG